AGGUGCACAUAGAAACACCAACGACCAUUUUUUUUGGUUUGUUUUCAGCACUUGAUUUCCUGUUAUUGCUGCAAAUUAAGCCUUCCUUCAUCUCUUGAAAUCCACUGUGCUGCAUUUUAUUCUGGAAUUGGUUUCCAUCACUUUAAAUGGUCAGCAAUGGGGGGUUUGUUCAUGAACUGACUGCACAAAUUAAUUCCUGAUCGCUUCUCGUCACUUCAAUGUUGGUUCUUGACAUGACAUUGUUUUGUUUCUUUCAUGGAUGCGCAUCGGCGGGCGAGCGGCCUCCUCGGUGCUCUGGCUCAUCCCUUUCAACGCUGCAGCUGGAGUGAAGGGCGUUUCCCUCCAGCAGGCGCACCUGUUCCGCGUUUCCCCAUCAAGCCAUGGAAAACAGACCCUUUCGAUAUCUUUCACAGUCGCUUUUAUUUUCUCUUGGAACUAUUUCAUCCUCUCAACAGAAUUUCAUUCACCCACGCCCACGGCCUCCUUCCAACAAGUUUCUGCUUCCUCCCUCUCAGCGCUCGCUUCUCCCGCCACUCCCCGUUGGCUGCGUGAUGAUGCUGUCCUCCACCUUCCAAGUACCCCCACCCACCCCCCUUCAUUGAUGCUAUAAAUACCCACCAUCGGCGGCAAGCAUGCGUUUCGUACGCCGACCUGGUCGGCGAGAGUCUGCGGGGAGGAAUAGCCGAUGCGACAGCCGUGAGAGACGCACACCAGCUCGGCGCUGAGUUCUAAAACGUGGGCCAGCGGCAGGUAGCCAAUGUAGG